CGUAGCAUCUCCGCUUUCGUCUUAAUGCAUACUAUGUCGAGCGGACAGAUGGGAGCUUGCUCCCUGAUGUUAGCGGCGGACGGGUGAGUAACACGUGGGUAACCUGCCUGUAAGACUGGGAUAACUCCGGGAAACCGGGGCUAAUACCGGAUGGUUGUCUGAACCGCAUGGUUCAGACAUAAAAGGUGGCUUCGGCUACCACUUACAGAUGGACCCGCGGCGCAUUAGCUAGUUGGUGAGGUAACGGCUCACCAAGGCGACGAUGCGUAGCCGACCUGAGAGGGUGAUCGGCCACACUGGGACUGAGACACGGCCCAGACUCCUACGGGAGGCAGCAGUAGGGAAUCUUCCGCAAUGGACGAAAGUCUGACGGAGCAACGCCGCGUGAGUGAUGAAGGUUUUCGGAUCGUAAAGCUCUGUUGUUAGGGAAGAACAAGUGCCGUUCAAAUAGGGCGGCACCUUGACGGUACCUAACCAGAAAGCCACGGCUAACUACGUGCCAGCAGCCGCGGUAAUACGUAGGUGGCAAGCGUUGUCCGGAAUUAUUGGGCGUAAAGGGCUCGCAGGCGGUUUCUUAAGUCUGAUGUGAAAGCCCCCGGCUCAACCGGGGAGGGUCAUUGGAAACUGGGGAACUUGAGUGCAGAAGAGGAGAGUGGAAUUCCACGUGUAGCGGUGAAAUGCGUAGAGAUGGUGGAGGACCACCAGUGGCGAAGGUGACUCUCUGGUCUGUUACUGACGCUGAGGAGCGAAAGCGUGGGGAGCGAACAGAAUUAGAAUCCAGGUGGAGCGAAAGGCGACCUUCUGGUCUUGUAACUGGACGCUGAGGAGGCGAAAAGCUUGGGGGAAGCGGAACCAGGAAUUAGAUACCCUUGGUAGUCCACGCCGUAAAACGAUGAGUGCUAAGUGGUUAGGGGGGUUUUCCGCCCCUUUAGUGCUGCAGCUAACGCAUUAAGCACUCCCGCCUGGGGGAGUACGGUCGCAAGACUGAAAAUUCAAAGGAAAUUGAACGGGGGCCCGCACAAAGCGGUGGAGCAUGUGGUUUAAAUUGAAAGCAACGCGAAGGAACCUUACCAGGUCUUGACAUCCUCUGACAAUCCUAGAGAUAGGACGUCCCCUUCGGGGGCAGAGUGACAGGUGGUGCAUGGUUGUCGUCAGCUCGUGUCGUGAGAUGUUGGGUUAAGUCCCGCAACGAGCGCAACCCUUGAUCUUAGUUGCCAGCAUUCAGUUGGGCACUCUAAGGUGACUGCCGGUGACAAACCGGAGGAAGGUGGGGAUGACGUCAAAUCAUCAUGCCCCUUAUGACCUGGGCUACACACGUGCUACAAUGGACAGAACAAAGGGCAGCGAAACCGCGAGGUUAAGCCAAUCCCACAAAUCUGUUCUCAGUUCGGAUCGCAGUCUGCAACUCGACUGCGUGAAGCUGGAAUCGCUAGUAAUCGCGGAUCAGCAUGCCGCGGUGAAUACGUUCCCGGGCCUUGUACACACCGCCCGUCACACCACGAGAGUUGGUAACACCCGAAGUCGGUGAGGUAACCUUUAAGGAGCCAGCCGCUCGAAGAUUGGAACAGGAAGCAUUGGA
rnacentral:rRNA from 1 species